rnacentral:misc_RNA from 1 species
UACGUAGGGGGCAAGCGUUGUCCGGAAUUAUUGGGCGUAAAGGGCACGCAGGCGGUCCUUUAAGCCGGUUGUGAAAUCUCGCGGCUCAACCGCGAAAGGUCAUUGGAAACCGGGGGACUUGAGUACAGAAGAGGAGAGUGGAAUUCCACGUGUAGCGGUGAAAUGCGUAGAGAUGUGGAGGAACACCAGUGGCGAAGGCGGCUCUCUGGUCUGUAACUGACGCUGAGGCGCGAAAGCGUGGGGAGCAAACAGG